UCUUAAUUAUUGAUGAUACAAGCGUGCGCGCUUCAUAGCCGAUCUACAUGCGGAUAAAAACGCUUUCUCUACCUCCGUGUUCGUCUCUACAGUUGUUUUGGAGGAAAUGAUACACGUAUUUGAGAUAUUCCGCCGUUAAUAUCGUCUUUAGGACCCAGCAGAGACAUCAAACCGGAGUCGCGUCCAGUCUUGUUGAAGGAAGUUGCUAGUUUUCCCAAGAAGUACGGAAUCUGAGCAUUAUAUUAUUAUUGGUUAUUAAUCGCCGCUAGAGGGCGCUGAAUGGAUCGCAACGUGAGAAAGUUAUCCUGGACGAGCAGAGCAGAAGCUUGCUACAUCAUCUUUUAUCAGAAGAGGAUUCAUGAUCCAUUUCAAGGUUGCUCUGGACAGAGCGAGCUUUAAUCCUCCUUGAUAAUCUUGUUGAGAAAGGUACCCCUGGAGAUGACCACUUCCAGCCUUCCAGUUAUCUUUUCUCCAUUGCUAAACUGGAUUGCUCAGGACAGGUAUGUUAUACCCACACACCAAAGAAACUUUUUGAGGUUUGGGGAGAUGCAUCACUGCGGAUUCUCU